rnacentral:misc_RNA from 1 species
AUAAAAUUGCUUUAAAUAGAAUUUUCUGUUAACAAUAUCAUUGCUCUUUGCCAGGCUAGUAAAACAGUUGUUUUGCCCCUUUAUUUGGAAUUAUGAUAAAAGCUUUCGUGUCUAAAGAGCAUGAUGAUGAGAAACAGUAAAGAAGGGUCUUUGAGUUUGGAAUGUGGACAUGCAUAAAGUUUUAAUAGCAUAGGUUUACAAGCUGACUUUGCCUUUUAAGCUUUAUUGUACUUCUUGCACAGGUGCUGCAGAACAUUUACAUACUGUGCCUAUAAUGAGGGAUUGAAUUUAACUGCGAUUCUCCUUAAUAACAAAAAGUUGACCAAAAUAAUUUUUUGGCAUUGUUGAGCUUCUUGCUGGGUUCUUUUGUUAAUGUUAUUCUAUUGAUUGCUCUAACAAGGUUUAUGAGACUUUCAUGAAGAAAAGGCAGUUUAGCAGAUAGGGAUGCCGGUAGUUGCAUGAAGAAAUCACGAUAUAUUGUUUGAAAAUAUUUUAUCCUUUCAGUCAUAAUCAAGCUGUAGGAGUUGGUGCAUUGCGGCUUUUAAACAUGUUCUUUUCAUCUGAAGAGAACAAAUUUAUAUUGUUUUAUAUGCAGAUUUCAUAGCUUAGGCAUUGGACAGAGCCCUUGACUCGUGACAGCUUGUUGUCUGGAUGUAGUAAUUCCCUUAAUUAUGCAGCUUCUAAUCCUGCAUUAUGUGUUAACUCUCCAUUAUGAUGCAUAUUUUAUUGCUACACAUUAUCAGGUUUGCUGUUGGCCACUUACUAGUAAUGGAUUGGUGGCUGAAGGCUUAAACAGGAUUCAUCUAAUUGCUCCUAAAGCCAGGAGAGAAACUCACAUGCUUAUCAGCAACAGUUGCAACUUGUAAGUGCUCAAACUUUUUAUCUCCUCUAAUGCUUCAAGGCUCUAGAAAGAAACCAGGCAUGGGCAAAUGAGAGAGAAGAGGAAGAUGGAUGGGAG